rnacentral:rRNA from 1 species
GACGAACGCUGGCGGCGUGCCUAAUACAUGCAAGUCGAACGCAGUGGGGACGGGUGAGUAACACGUGGGUAACCUCCCAUCAGAGGGGAUAACACUUGGAAACAGGUGCUAACUCGAUACCGAUGGAUGGACCUGUGGUGCAUGAGCUAGUGGGCGGGGGAACGGCUUACCAAGGCCACGAUGCAUUGCCGACCGGAGGGGGUGAUCGGCCACACUGGAACUGAGACACGGCCCAGACUCCUACGGGAGGCAGAAGUGGGGAAGCUUCGGCAAUGGAAGAAAGUCUGACCGAGCAACGCCGCGUGAGUGAAGAAGUUUUUCGGGUCGUAAAACUCUGUGUUUAGAGAGGCGGUAUCUAACCAGAAAGCCACGGCUAACUACGUGCCAGCCGCCGCGGUAAUAC